ensembl:miRNA tni-mir-23a-1 tni-mir-23a-1
GCUGUGGCGGGGAGGGUUCCUGGCACCGUGAUUUGAUGCACAAAGACAAACAAAAAUCACAUUGCCAGGGAUUUCCACCCUUUCACAG